rnacentral:lncRNA from 1 species
UUGAGUUGUUUCAUUUCAUAUAAUACUAAGUGUUUUUUAAUGAUACAUAAGCAAAUAUAACAAUCAAAUAGAGUAAUGGAAAUAUAUAAAGUGGAAAUUUAAGUAUUGUUAUUUAUAAUUAGGUCAAUGAAGAAAAAUAAGGGUGGUUAAUUAAAAUUGAAUUUUUGAUUUUUGGAAUAAAUAAAUAAAUUUAGAAACAAGAACUAACAAGGAGAUUUACUGAAGAAUAUAUAUUUGGAAUGAAAGUGAUUCAACUCGAUGUACUACUAUCCAAGUUUCAAAGCAUGUGUACAAAAUGAUGCAGAGAUAUAGUCCAGUCAAAAUUUUGUAAAAUAACAUAAAUGUGCAGUCUCAAUUUGGAUCCGUUGAAUCAAACUUUCAUCUAGAGUCAUAUUUUGAAUUGAGCUAAUCUGUCUCUGCACAAAUUGAAUGGAUUUAAGUAUGGUUGCUAAGAUAGAGGUAUAUGAAAUAGAGUAAAUUAAGCAUGUGAUCACCGGCACA